AUGGGUGAUCCCGUUUGUCUCUGCUGCUUGGACGAGCAGAUGGCCUACCAUGCUCUGUCGGAACUGAAACCCGGAGUGAAGAACUGGAAUGUCUGCGUUCAUGUCUCCCACCUCUGGGAAUACCGCGGUGGCACCGACACUGGUCCGGUGCAACAUGUAGAUAUGGUUCUGGUCAAUAACAAGGGAAAUGCUAUGUACGCUGAGAUAGGAAAGGAUGACUUGGAGCAUAAAGCUCCGCUAUUGGCUGACGGCAACACAUACACUCUGACCAGAUUCAUGGUGUCGCUUGCCACACUAUUGUGGAAGCAGUGGCUGACAUCCAAGAUGGCUUUCUGGAGUUCGUGUACGACCCUAUUCCGUUUCUGGACCUCGCAGCCUAUGUGGGAGAGAACAAGCGCUUUAUAUUGUUGGGUCAUAGUGAGUGUCUCUGCUGCUGCAUUUCUCUGCAUUGCGCGCCAGCCAACUCUGACCACCAAACGCACUAUAGUCCUGGAAGACCACUUUUAUUUCAUUUUCUCUGUUCUUGAGGUUUAUAUAUGGUUCAAACUUCAAACAUAUUAA
rnacentral:rRNA from 1 species